AUGUUGCAUGGCACCUCACUAAAAGUGGUGUUUUUUCAGUGUGCUCUGCCUAUUAUAAGCAAAUGGGAAGUGUGUUAUGACACACAGGAUAGUGGCCUGGUUCACUCGUCCAUGGCCCCCCACCUAGUUUGGAAAAAGCUAUGGAAUUUGAAAGUACCAGCAAAAGUUAAAAAAUUUAUAUGGAGAUGCUUGCACAAUGGAGUCCCAUGUCGGAGUACUUUAAUGAACUGUCAUGUGGGAAAUUUAUCCCAAUGUCCGUAUUGUACAGAAGGAGCGGAGGACUUAACCCAUAUGUUGUUUAAAUAUGUAAGAUCACAAUUAGUGCGGGAAGCUCUGGGAAUUGCAGCUGAUAUCAACUUUUCUUCUCUCAAGGAUUGA
rnacentral:rRNA from 1 species